AUGGUGUCCUUGUCUGCUCCCGCAGUGAUCCGAUUGAGGCGAGGAGUCCCUCCAGGAAAUCCCGGGGGUACCCUAGGGAGUCCUGUUCUCAGCGGGUCCUGCAGCCGAGCAGAAUAGGUCCCAUCUGGGUCACCAAAAUGAUGCCGUGAAAAGCCAAAAUCAGGACUCAAUAGUCAGGAUGACUAUUAAGUAGGUAUACUUUAUUGCAGCGCUGGG